CAAACGACUCUCGGCAACGGAUAUCUCGGCUCACGCAUCGAUGAAGACGUAGCAAAAUGCGAUACUUGGUGUGAAUUGCAGAAUCCCGUGAACCAUCGAGUUUUUGAACGCAAGUUGCGCCCGAAGCCUUUUGGCCAAGGGCACGUCUGCCUGGGCGUCACGC
rnacentral:rRNA from 1 species